GGUUCGGUGGUGGAUGGUCCACGUCUGUCUCUCAUGUACUGUUAUGACACUGAGUUCAAGCAGAAGACGCCUGUUCGAAUCAGGUCCGAGCCA